AUAUCAAUAAGCGGAGGAAAAGAAACCAACAGGGAUUGCCCCAGUAACGGCGAGUGAAGCGGCAACAGCUCAAAUUUGAAAUCUGGCCCCUCAAGGGUCCGAGUUGUAAUUUGUAGAGGAUGCUUUUGGUGAGGUGCCGCCCGAGUUCCCUGGAACGGGACGCCACAGAGGGUGAGAGCCCCGUCUGGCUGGCCACCGAGCCUCUGUAAAGCUCCUUCGACGAGUCGAGUAGUUUGGGAAUGCUGCUCAAAAUGGGAGGUAUAUGUCUUCUAAAGCUAAAUAUUGGCCAGAGACCGAUAGCGCACAAGUAGAGUGAUCGAAAGAUGAAAAGCACCUUGAAAAGAGGGUUAAAUAGUACGUGAAAUUGUUGAAAGGGAAGCGCUUGUGACCAGACUUGGGCGCGGCGGAUCAUCCGGGGUUCUCUCCGGUGCACUUCGUCGCGUUCAGGCCAGCAUCAGUUCGUCGCGGGGGAUAAAGGCUUCGGGAACGUGGCUCCUCCGGGAGUGUUAUAGCCCGUUGCAUAAUACCCUGCGGUGGACUGAGGACCGCGCAUCUGCAAGGAUGCUGGCGUAAUGGUCACCAGCGACCCGUCUUGAAACACGGACCAAGGAGUCGUCUUCGUAUGCGAGUGUUCGGGUGUCAAACCCCUACGCGUAAUGAAAGUGAACGCAGGUGAGAGCUUCGGCGCAUCAUCGACCGAUCCUGAUGUUCUCGGACGGAUUUGAGUAAGAGCAUACGGGGCCGGACCCGAAAGAAGGUGAACUAUGCCUGUAUAGGGUGAAGCCAGAGGAAACUCUGGUGGAGGCUCGCAGCGGUUCUGACGUGCAAAUCGAUCGUCAAAUAUGGGCAUGGGGGCGAAAGACUAAUCGAACCUUCUAGUAGCUGGUUUCCGC
rnacentral:rRNA from 1 species